rnacentral:rRNA from 1 species
AUUGAACGCUGGCGGCAGGCCUAACACAUGCAAGUCGAGCGAGCGGCGGACGGGUGAGUAAUGUAUGGGGACUGCCCGCUAGAGGGGGAUAACUACUGGAAACGGUGGCUAAUACCGAAUACUAUCGGAUAACCCAUAUGGGAUUAGCUAGUAGGUGGGGUAAAGGCUAACCUAGGCGACGAUCUCUAGCUGGUCUGAGAGGAUGAUCAGCAAAACUGGGACUGAGACAAGGCCCAGACGCCUACGGAGGCAGCAGUGGGGAAUAUUGCAAAAGGGGCGCAAGCCGGAUGCAGCAAGGCCGCGUGUAUGAAGAAGGCCUUAGGGUUGGAAAGUACUUUCAGCGGGGAGGCGUUACCCGCAGAAGAAGCACCGGCUAACUCCGUGCCAGCAGCCGCGGUAAUUC